rnacentral:rRNA from 1 species
AGAGCGAACGCUGGCGGCAGGCUUAACACAUGCAAGUCGAGCGGGCGUAGCAAUACGUCAGCGGCAGACGGGUGAGUAACGCGUGGGAACAUACCUUUUGGUUCGGAACAACACAGGGAAACUUGUGCUAAUACCGGAUAAGCCCUUACGGGGAAAGAUUUAUCGCCGAAAGAUUGGCCCGCGUCUGAUUAGCUAGUUGGUGAGGUAACGGCUCACCAAGGCGACGAUCAGUAGCUGGUCUGAGAGGAUGAUCAGCCACAUUGGGACUGAGACACGGCCCAAAACUCCUACGGGAGGCAGCAGUGGGAAUAUUGGACAAUGGGCGCAAGCCUGAUCCAGCCAUGCCGCGUGAGUGAUGAAGGCCCUAGGGUUGUAAAGCUCUUUUGUGCGGGAAGAUAAUGACGGUACCGACAAGAAUAAGCCCCGGCUAACUUCGCGCCAGCAGCCGC